CGUAGGGACCGAGCGUUAUCCGGAUUCAUUUGGGCGUAAAGAGCUCGUAGGCGGCUAUCCAAGUCGAACGUGAAAUCUCGGAGCUCAACUCCGAGCCUGCGUUCGAUACUGUAUGGCUAGAGUCUGGUAGGGGGAUCUGGAAUUCCUGGUGUAGCGGUGGAAUGCGCAGAUAUCAGGAGGAACACCGGUGGCGAAGGCGGGAUCCUGGGCCAGUACUGACGCUGAGGAGCGAAAGCGUGGGGAGCAAACAGGAUUAGAUACCCUGGUAGUCCACGCCGUAAACGAUGGGCGCUAGGUGUGGGAGGUCAUCGACUCCUUCCGUGCCGCAGCUAACGCAUUAAGCGCCCCGGCCUGGGGAGUACGGCCGCAAGGCUA
rnacentral:rRNA from 1 species